rnacentral:rRNA from 1 species
AGUGAACGCUGGCGGUAGGCCUAACACAUGCAAGUCGAACGGCAGCACAGUAAGAGCUUGCUCUUACGGGUGGCGAGUGGCGGACGGGUGAGGAAUACAUCGGAAUCUACUUUUUCGUGGGGGAUAACGUAGGGAAACUUACGCUAAUACCGCAUACGACCUACGGGUGAAAGCAGGGGAUCUUCGGACCUUGCGCGAUUAAAUGAGCCGAUGUCGGAUUAGCUAGUUGGCGGGGUAAAGGCCCACCAAGGCGACGCUCCGUAGCUGGUCUGAGAGGAUGAUCAGCCACACUGGAACUGAGACACGGUCCAGACUCCUACGGGAGGCAGCAGUGGGGAAUAUUGGACAAUGGGCGCAAGCCUGAUCCAGCCAUACCGCGUGGGUGAAGAAGGCCUUCGGGUUGUAAAGCCCUUUUGUUGGGAAAGAAAAGCAGCAGGUUAAUACCCCGCUGUUCUGACGGUACCCAAAGAAUAAGCACCGGCUAACUUCGUG